AACGCUAGCUACAGGCUUAACACAUGCAAGUCGAGGGGCAGCAUGAACUUAGCUUGCUAAGUUUGAUGGCGACCGGCGCACGGGUGAGUAACGCGUAUCCAACCUUCCGCUUACUCGGGAAUAGCCUUUCGAAAGAAAGAUUAAUACCCGAUGGUAUCUUAAGCGCACAUGCAAAUAAGAUUAAAGAUUUAUCGGUAAGCGAUGGGGAUGCGUUCCAUUAGAUAGUAGGCGGGGUAACGGCCCACCUAGUCGACGAUGGAUAGGGGUUCUGAGAGGAAGGUCCCCCACAUUGGAACUGAGACACGGUCCAAACUCCUACGGGAGGCAGCAGUGAGGAAUAUUGGUCAAUGGGCGCGAGCCUGAACCAGCCAAGUAGCGUGAAGGAUGAAGGUCCUACGGAUUGUAAACUUCUUUUAUAAGGGAAUAAAGUCACCUACGUGUAGGUGUUUGUAUGUACCUUAUGAAUAAGCAUCGGCUAACUCCGUGCCAGCAGCCGCGGUAAUACGGAGGAUGCGAGCGUUAUCCGGAUUUAUUGGGUUUAAAGGGAGCGCAGACGGGUCGUUAAGUCAGCUGUGAAAGUUUGGGGCUCAACCUUAAAAUUGCAGUUGAUACUGGCGUCCUUGAGUGCGGUUGAGGUGUGCGGAAUUCGUGGUGUAGCGGUGAAAUGCUUAGAUAUCACGAAGAACUCCGAUUG
rnacentral:rRNA from 1 species